rnacentral:rRNA from 1 species
AAACCAACCGGGAUUGCCUUAGUAACGGCGAGUGAAGCGGCAAAAGCUCAAAUUUGAAAUCUGGUACCUUCGGUGCCCGAGUUGUAAUUUGGAGAGGGCAACUUUGGGGCCGUUCCUUGUCUAUGUUCCUUGGAACAGGACGUCAUAGAGGGUGAGAAUCCCGUGUGGCGAGGAGUGCGGUUCUUUGUAGAGUGCCUUCGAAGAGUCGAGUUGUUUGGGAAUGCAGCUCUAAGUGGGUGGUAAAUUCCAUCUAAAGCUAAAUAUUGGCGAGAGACCGAUAGCGAACAAGUACAGUGAUGGAAAGAUGAAAAGAACUUUGAAAAGAGAGUGAAAAAGUACGUGAAAUUGUUGAAAGGGAAGGGCAUUUGAUCAGACAUGGUGUUUUGUGCCCUCUGCUCCUUGUGGGUAGGGGAAUCUCGCAUUUCACUGGGCCAGCAUCAGUUUUGGUGGCAGGAUAAAUCCAUAGGAAUGUAGCUUGCCUCGGUAAGUAUUAUAGCCUGUGGGAAUACUGCCAGCUGGGACUGAGGACUGCGACGUAAGUCAAGGAUGCUGGCAUAAUGGUUAUAUGCCGCCCGUCUUGAAACACGGACC